rnacentral:rRNA from 1 species
GACGAACGCUGGCGGCGUGCUUAACACAUGCAAGUCGAACGGAAAGGCCCUGCUUUUGUGUGGUUCUCGAGUGGCGAACGUGUGAGUAACACGUGAGUCACCUUCCCUUGACUUUGUGAUAACUUCAGGAAACUGGUGCUAAUACCGGCUAGGUGCUCCUGCUGCAUGGUGGGGGUUGGAACGUUUCGGCGGUUGGGGAUGGACUCGCGGCUUAUCAGCUUGUUGGUGGGGUAGUUGCUUACCAAGGCAUUGGCGGAUAGCCGGCAUGAGAGGGUGACCGGGCACAAGGGGACUGAGAGAGGGACCAGACUCCUACGGGAGGCAGCAGUGGGGAAUAUGGCACAAUGGGGGGAAGCCUGAGGCAGAAACGCCGCGUGCGGGAUGAAGGCCUUCGGGUUGGAAACCGCUUUAGCCUGUGACGAAGCGGGAGUGACGGUAAUGGGUAAAGAAGCACCGGCUAACUACGUG